rnacentral:rRNA from 1 species
ACGGCUCAGUAACACGUGGUUAACCUACCCUCAGGACAGUAACAACCCCGGGAAACUGGGGCUAAUUUCUGAUAGAUGAGGAAGUCUGGAAUGACUCUUCGUUCAAAGGGUAUUGAUGACAUGCCUUUCAGUAUUGCCUGAGGAUGGGACCGCACCCGAUCAGGUUGUUGGUGAGGUAAAGGCUCACCAAGCCUAUAACCGGUACGGGCCUUGAGAGAGGGAGCCCGGAGAUGGGCACUGAGACAAGGGCCCAGGUCCUACGGGGCGCAGCAGGCGCGAAACCUCCGCAAUGCACGAAAGUGUGACGGGGUCACCCCGAGUGCCAUCCGCUGAGGGUGGCUUUUGUUCGGUGUAAUGAGCCGAAUGAAUAAGGGGAGGGCAAGUCUGGUGUCAGCCGCCGCGGUAAUACCAGCCCCCUGAGUGGUAAGGACGAUUAUUUGGCCUAAAGCGUCCGUAGCCGGCUUGGUAAGUCUCUCGUUAAAUCCAAUGAUUUAAUCAUUGGGCUGCAAGAGAUACUACCAUGCUAGAGGACGGGAGAGGUCGACGGUAGUCCAGGGGUAGGGGUGAAAUCCUAUAAUCCUUGGAGGACCACCAGUGGCGAAGGCGGUCGACUAGAACGUGCCUGACGGUGAUGGACGAAAGCUGGGGGAGCGAACCGGAUUAGAUACCCGGGUAGUCCCAGCUGUAAACGAUGCGGGCUAGGUGUUGGGGUAGCUACGAGCUACUCCAGUGCCGCAGAGAAGUUAUUAAGCCCGCCGCCUGGGGAGUACGGUCGCAAGGCUGAAACUUAAAGGAAUUGGCGGGGGAGCACCACAAGGGGUGGAGGCUGCGGUUUAAUUGGAUUCAACGCCGGA